rnacentral:lncRNA from 1 species
AUGCCAUUCUGUCUACAAGGAUGCAUUAAAUUUGUAAAUUUGCUUAUGAAGGAUUGUCUUCUUUGUGGAUGGAUUUCCUCUCCGGAACAUGGUGCCUCCAUCUGCUCAAGUCCGUGUGGGGUCUUGAAGGCACACGAGCCUUCCGCACACAGGCUCUCUCACUGUUGGGUUCAUGCAGAGGAGUCUCAUCUAUUUGUUGCUGUUGGAAACAGAGCCUCUCUCCUACCGCGUCCUGUAACAGAGGUGUGUGAAGACAGCCCCCGUCUGAUCUCCCUGCGGUUUCGGACCCUGCUGCUGUCCUGUGCUUCCAGCCUGCCCCAGGAUUGGGUCCAGGGGGUGAGGGAGGAAGCUGGGGCAGGCCCAGCGGGCAAUGAAGACCUGACCGGCAUCGCCUGCCCCCGUCACAGGCACCAGGGCGAGAGGAGGGCAGGCAGGGCUUGGAGGAAGCAGCAUCCUUACAGCCAGCCGACUCCCACCCUGUGCCGCUUCCCUGGGAGGCUGGAUGGGAGGGCCGGGCCAGCUGACUUCAGCCUUCCUCUGGCUCAGCCAUACAUUGUACAGAAAGGGAAACCCAGACCACGGGAGACUGGGUGGCAGAAUCCAGCACUGUGUGCCUGUGGCCUGAGCAGGAGUCGGGCCCCCAUGGGGAGAAUGUCCGUUCAUCAGAAAGCCGGGGGUGCAGACUGCCUGGAGCCGGCCCUGAGGUGGACACACAGCAGCCAGGCCUCUGGGCCCAGGGGGAGCCCGGGAAGGGGCACGGAGGCUGUGGCCGGCAAAGCAAGGGGAGGAGAACGGCCGGGCUGGACUGAGGAGUCGUGCAGGGCGGGACUGCUGAGCAUUUGUUCCUGGUGUGUGUGUGCGUGUGUGCCCGUGACGCCGUGCAUGCACGAAUGUGUCCGUGUGGAGCUCCCUGUCACGGUGCGUGGCAGCAGAGGCCGCCCUAAUCAGGGAGCGUGCCGGGAUGCUUCCGCACUUGUGUUUUCUCACCUGCCUCCUGUCCCGUCCCUGGGCGGCAGGGCAGGGCAGAGGCACCAAGAAAGCAGAUGGGUCACCUCCGUUGCCAUGAAACUUUAUUGGGACUGA